rnacentral:rRNA from 1 species
GGUUAAGCGACUAAGCGUACACGGUGGAUGCCCUGGCAGUCAGAGGCGAUGAAGGGCGUGCUAAUCUGCGAUAAGCGCCGGUAAGGUGAUAUGAACCGUUAUAACCGGCGAUACCGAAUGGGGAAACCCAGUGUGACUCGUCACACUAUCAUUAACUGAAUCCAUAGGUUAAUGAGGCGAACCGGGGGAACUGAAACAUCUAAGUACCCCGAGGAAAAGAAAUCAACCGAGAUUCCCCCAGUAGCGGCGAGCGAACGGGGAGGAGCCCAGAGCCUGAAUCAGCAUGUGUGUUAGUGGAAGCGUCUGGAAAGGCGCGCGAUACAGGGUGACAGCCCCGUACACAAAAGCGCAUGUGCUGUGAGCUCGAUGAGUAGGGCGGGACACGUGGUAUCCUGUCUGAAUAUGGGGGGACCAUCCUCCAAGGCUAAAUACUCCUGACUGACCGAUAGUGAACCAGUACCGUGAGGGAAAGGCGAAAAGAACCCCGGCGAGGGGAGUGAAAAAGAACCUGAAACCGUGUACGUACAAGCAGUGGGAGCACCC